rnacentral:rRNA from 1 species
CCUACGGGUGGCUGCAGUGGGGAAUAUUGGACAAUGGGCGAAAGCCUGAUCCAGCCAUGCCGCGUGUGUGAAGAAGGCCUUCGGGUUGUAAGGCACUUUCAGUGGGGAAGAAAGCCUUGGGGCUAAUACCCUCGAGGAAGGACAUCACCCACAGAAGAAGCACCGGCUAACUCCGUGCCAGCAGCCGCGGUAAUACGGAGGGUGCGAGCGUUAAUCGGAAUUACUGGGCGUAAAGCGCGCGUAGGCGGUCUGAUAAGCCGGUUGUGAAAGCCCCGGGCUCAACCUGGGAACGGCAUCCGGAACUGUCAGGCUAGAGUGCAGGAGAGGAAGGUAGAAUUCCCGGUGUAGCGGUGAAAUGCGUAGAGAUCGGGAGGAAUACCAGUGGCGAAGGCGGCCUUCUGGACUGACACUGACGCUGAGGUGCGAAAGCGUGGGUAGCAAACAGGAUUAGAUACCCCAGUAGUC